ACGUGUGUCUGAGAUAGACUGAUUAAGGCGGUUGAGAGCUGCGGUUCAGAUUCAGAAGCGGAAUCUUUCUGUGUUCCCCUGGAAUAAUUCACAUAUGCCACGAAUGUGAUUUCUGCAAGCCUUGUAUCCGUGUGUGCCCAACGCUGGAUCCCGCAGGCAUGCCGGCGGUCUGUUGCGCACUGUCCAUCUGAAGGCUCUGCGAGGGUCCCUGAGUCCUCUCCACGAGAUCCGGAUCAGAACCAUGCAGGCGGUGACCCCGGCGGUGCCGUAGACCAGAGCCCAGUACAGUAAGGACAGCAACCACAGACACACCCGGGUAGGGAAAAGUAUAACGGACAGGGUCGUGCCGCUCAUGACUCCUGGUGUCAGAAAACACGAGUGAUGGAUCAUGGAGCAACUUCACUGUUGUCUAACGGUCCUAGAUUGCUACGCUACACGUUCAACAUACAUCCACCAGUUCGCGUUGCUACGCAACUUGCAAACCAACUUAAUGAUAGAAAGUAGCGUUUAUAACCACUGACAGAAUGUUAAGAAUACUUACUGAAGCCGUAUUCCACACUUUCCGGGGAACUUUGCUCAUAAAUUGGUCCGGAACGAGCAGGACCUUCCACUAGGUUAUAAAUAAAUCUCACUUGCUUGCUAUCCAAGUAGGUUGGACGUUUCUGAAAACCAAUCGCGACCUUCCUCCCCACAGUCGCUUGGUCCAUGCAUCUGAAGGGUAGUGAAGUGACGGGUAGCUUAUAUACAUUUAGUUCGGUGGACUAAUACAGUUUAUCAUUAAUUCAUUAAAGAGUUGUUUUUUUCCCACAACAGGCCAUAAACACACUAUGAUAUGUGGGUACCCGAAAUGCACAAAGUUACACAGUCGAAUCGUAGGUCACCAAUAACUUCUCCCCUUGGUUUUCAGUUUCAUGGCAAUCGUAAUUCAAAAUGUCAGUUUAAUAGUUUACCGGAUUCCACGUCUCUUAUUCGAUUGUCUUUAAGUCGGCUAUUAAAAUGAGUUUUAAACUCCCGCGGAUUAUUGGAAAACAUUAUUUUUGUUUUAAAAAUGUCUUUAGAUUUUGUGGCUGCCACAGCACAAACCAGGAUGUUUCUGUAGCCGAUUUCAUCCUUUUUCAGUGAUAAAAGAUCCAUGUAGUGCCUAUCGUGAGAGACAAAACUUUAUUGCAAUAACUGAAAUUUUAUACGAAUUAAAAAUCAGACCGGUCUGAGCUUAAACGUUUCAAAGAAGCAAAUUAAAGACCCUGGCUAUAUCCUUUAAGAGGUUUAUUUGUUGUGAAAAUCUAAUGGUCACUUUGAUGCCCCCACAUUUUAUCGUGGUUAGACCUUCCACAGCUCCGUUCAACUGGCAACCAUUCAGCUGGGCUUAGCAGAGGGAUGUCUAUUGUUGGAUCUUGUGUGGGUACGUUCAUUCCGGUCAAGUCACAAGGUUAAAUCGUGAAGGGUAGUCCUGCUUGAGGGCACCCACCACCCCACAGUAGAUACACACACUGUUAAAUAUGAGUCUGUUCAUACGCCACCGGUGCCUCUGCAUGCCAAGGUUAAUACUACUGAGAGAUGUUGUGCCUUUGUGUGUGUGAGUAUGUGUGUGUGUGAGAGAGAGAGACCUUUUAAGUGGAAAAGUGACUCAAAAUAAUGAAUGGCAAAUAAUAAAAAUAAUACUGAGUGAAGACCCAACUCAAUAAAAUAAAUGGGCACGAGGGAUCUGAUAAAGGGAUAUUAAGCAGUUUGUGGAAUGGAAAUCAAACGCGAGGGCUUCAUAAUUAUGUGUGCGUUUGUACUAUUCAGGAGAAGCUUGUGAAUAGUAGAAUCUGUCACUAGCUCAGCCGUUGGACAUAAAGACUAAUUACACAAGCAGUCAGUAGAGGGCAGUGUUGGCAUUCUUAGUCAUGAACUAGUCGAACGAGCACGGAAAAUCCCGCUGCCUUUGCUCGUGCGCCUUUUUUUGGCCCCGAAGGUCGAACAGUAGCCUUAAAACGCGACUAAGUACCACAAACUGCAACUAACGUACUUCAAUCUAUUAUACAUCUCUGCACAACGGCACUGGAGUAUAUGAAAUCGCACUAGGCCUAUUUAUCAGUAUAUCGAAUUAUCCGGUCUAUUAAACAGUAUCGUCCGCUGAGGCCCAUUUCUGUAUAUCAAAUUAUAAUAGGCCUAUCCGUGAGCAUAUUAUGUAAAUAGGUCUAAAUGUGAAAACGCUGAACACUGAAACAUGAAAGAACUUUGCAUCCUCAAUGUGCUCUUAUUCACAUGAUGCCAGCUAUGGGGGAGGCCUAAAUUAUGCCCCCCGCUUAGUGUAGUGUUUCCAGGUUCCCUGAAGAAAGACCAUAAAUACGCAGGGGCAGCUCUGAUAUAGCCUUGUUCACCAUGACACCCCCCCCCCCCCCAAAAAAGAAGACAUCCCAGACCACAGACCCCCUGCUGAUCCUGACCAGAAACCUCAGAUCCACACCAAAACAGAAAGUGAUUGUUUUUUUGUCUCUUUUUAAUUUUUUUUUGUUUUGGUUUUUUCUUAAAAAGAGAUGAGUUUAUUCCAUGAUCAUAACAGACACACAGCUUUUCCUUCAUACCGCCUCAGUCACUGACACAUCAACUGGUAAUCAGGAAAAAUAAAACACAAAAACCGAGAAAAAAAAAAAAAGGAAAAAAAAAAACCUGAAUGAACCAAACAGUGGCCGAGCCACACCUCGGUUUUCUUCUGUUGAAUAGAUAUCUAUGGCACAUAACAUCCAACUGUCACCACUGAAACGAAAACAAAAA